rnacentral:lncRNA from 1 species
CCAAGGUUAUAGUCACAGACACACCCAUAUCUACAGUUAUCACCUAGUGGUACAAUAUUAACCCACCAAGUAGAUUAAUCCACUGAUGGGGUUAUAGCUCUCAUAAUCCAAUAUUUUCACUUCUGAAUGCUGCUGCAUUGCCUAACACAUGAGCUUUGGGGGGAACAUUCCUAGAUGGAGGAGGGUGUGCCUGAGCAACUGCUUGCUAAAGACAUCAGCAUUGAUGUUAACCAUCAAGGCAAUAGUAAAUAGACCUCAAACACCUCAAAAACUUUUGGGCUGAGGACCCAAGAUAGCAGGACAGAGGGAGGCAGCAUUCUGAGUCGCUCCAUGACCUGGGACUCAAGUACUGCUUCUCUGCGAGCAAUAUUCCUGCUCCUGUGUAGGAAUCACGGCCACUGUGCCCACCCAGGGCUCCAGGCCUCAGAGUGGGUCUCCAAACUACUGGCCCACACAGGACUAUUGGGUACCCAAGAGGGCACCAUCAAUACCCAUGCAGAACUUCCAGCCACCCACCCAAGCAGAAAUCAUCAAUAUCACUCCCAUAGAGGACACCUGGCAGCUUCCCACAUACAGGAACUCCUACCACCACUCCCAUGUGGACCCCCAUCUACCAACAUGGGUAAUCCCCUGGCUGCCACCAUCUUGGGAUGCUAGAGCAGCAGAGAUAGUCCCCUUCGAGUGGUAGCCUACCUGCACCCAAGAACAUCACACAGGCUUUGAAGUCAGCCAACAGACACACACUGCAUAAGCUCAUCUCUGAACUCAUCCUCCAAUGCCAUCACUCAGCUCCCC